CUUUAAACGCUACACAACAAAUUCUAAGUCUGCUGGUCUCUUUAGCAAAAAGCAUAUUAGAUCAUUAAUUCAGACGGUAUCAAUUAUAAAAACGGUCACUCAUUUCUUAAACGUCAGCCUAAAUCUGUUUUAUUAAUUUUAUGCAAGUAAAUACACCACUUUAUUUUUAAUAAGGGUUGGAGCACGAAAUAAAUGUAAAGAAACAACCCAAUUUCUGAAUUAUCAGGUCAUUUUAUCCAAAGUCUGCUAUGGUCAAUUACAGAAAACACAUUGAAUGCUUACCUCUAUCAUUAUAACGGAAUUUCCACGAAUGGCGACCGAGCCAAUUUUUACUUUUUCACCGUCAACUUUCUCUUCAAUGGAAUCUUCUAAUACUAUAUUCAAAAAGAUCUAAUAAAAGUUAGAUAUUUUUUUUUUUUACAUUUAGCAACAUACAUCAUAACCACGAAGAACACCGUAAACUUUUCGAGAUCCAUUUAGCUGAACAAAUACCUGUCUAUCUAGGUACUAUAACCAUGAAUUAGAAUUU